UACGUAGGGUGCAAGCGUUGUCCGGAAUUAUUGGGCGUAAAGAGCUCGUAGGCGGUUUGUCGCGUCUGCCGUGAAAGUCCGGGGCUCAACUCCGGAUCUGCGGUGGGUACGGGCAGACUAGAGUGAUGUAGGGGAGACUGGAAUUCCUGGUGUAGCGGUGAAAUGCGCAGAUAUCAGGAGGAACACCGAUGGCGAAGGUAGGUCUCUGGGCAUUAACUGACGCUGAGGAGCGAAAGCAUGGGGAGCGAACAGG
rnacentral:rRNA from 1 species